rnacentral:rRNA from 1 species
CACGUAGGGUGCGAGCGUUGUCCGGAAUUAUUGGGCGUAAAGAGCUCGUAGGCGGUGUGUCGCGUCGGCCGUGAAAACCUACAGCUUAACUGUGGGCUUGCUUUCGAUACGGGCAGACUUGAGGCAUGCAGGGGAGAACGGAAUUCCUGGUGUAGCGGUGAAAUGCGCAGAUAUCAGGAGGAACACCGGUGGCGAAGGCGGUUCUCUGGGCAUGUUCUGACGCUGAGGAGCGAAAGUGUGGGGAGCGAACAGG